rnacentral:rRNA from 1 species
AGUGAACGCUGGCGGUAGGCCUAACACAUGCAAGUCGAACGGCAGCACAGUAAGAGCUUGCUCUUACGGGUGGCGAGUGGCGGACGGGUGAGGAAUACAUCGGAAUCUACUUUUUCGUGGGGGAUAACGUAGGGAAACUUACGCUAAUACCGCAUACGACCUACGGGUGAAAGCAGAGGAUCUUCGGACCUUGCGCGAUCGAAUGAGCCGAUGUCGGAUUAGCUAGUUGGCGGGGUAAAGGCCCACCAAGGCGACGAUCCGUAGCUGGUCUGAGAGGAUGAUCAGCCACACUGGAACUGAGACACGGUCCAGACUCCUACGGGAGGCAGCAGUGGGGAAUAUUGGACAAUGGGCGCAAGCCUGAUCCAGCCAUGCCGCGUGGGUGAAGAAGGCCUUCGGGUUGUAAAGCCCUUUUGUUGGGGAAGAAAAGCAGCAGGUUAAUACCCCGCUGUUCUGACGGUACCCAAAGAAUAAGCACCGGCUAACUUCGUG